CGCAGGCUGUGCUGCAAGUCAGCUGUGAAAUAUCUGGGCUUAACCUGGAUAUGCGGUUGAGACUGCAGUGCUGGAGUGCUGUAGAGGCAAGUGGAAUUCCCAGUGUAGCGGUGAAAUUCGUAGAUAUUCGCAAGAACACCAGUGGCGAAGGCGGCUCACUGGGCCAUUACUGACGCUGAGGCACGAAAGCGUGGGGAGCAAACA
rnacentral:rRNA from 1 species